AUUGAACGCUGGCGGCAGGCCUAACACAUGCAAGUCGAACGAGUGGCGGACGGGUGAGUAAUGUCUGGGAAACUGCUUGAUGGAGGGGGAUAACUACUGGAAACGGUAGCUAAUACCGCAUACCAUCGGAUUUGCCCAGAUGGGAUUAGCUAGUAGGUGGGGUAAAGGCGCACCUAGGCGACGAUCCCUAGCGGGUCUGAGAGGAUGACCGGCCACACUGGAACUGAGACACGGUCCAGACUCCUACGGGAGGCAGCAGGGGGGAAUAUUGCCAAAUGGGCGCAAGCCUGAUGCAGCCAUGACGCGUGUAUGAAGAAGGCCUUCGGGUUGUAAAGUACUUUCAGCGGGGAGGCGUUACCCACAGAAGAAGCACCGGCUAACUCCGUGCCAGCCGCCGCGGUAAUAC
rnacentral:rRNA from 1 species